GAUGAACGCUAGCGGCAGGCCUCAUACAUGCAAGUCGAGGGGCAGCGGGACACUUCGGUGUUGCCGGCGACCGGCGGACGGGUGCGUAAUGCGCAUGCAAUCUACUUUACACUGGGGCAUAGCCUCCGGAAACGGGAAUUAAUACCCCAUAUAAUCUUUCUGGCGCAUGCUGGAAAGAUGAAAGCUCUGGCGGUGUAAAAUGAGCGUGCGUCCUAUUAGCUAGUUGGAGAGGUAACGGCUCACCAAGGCUACGAUGGGUAGGGGUUCUUAGUGGAGGGUCCCCCACACUGGCACUGAGAUACGGGCCAGACUCCUACGGGAGGCAGCAGUAGGGGAUAUUGGUCAAUGGGCGCAAGCCUGAACCAGCCAUGCCGCGUGCAGGAUGAAAGCUCUCUGAGUUGUAAACUGCUUUUGUACAGGAGCAAAAAAACCCCUGCGGGGGUUCUUGAGAGUACUGUAAGAAUAAGCACCGGCUAAUUCCGUG
rnacentral:rRNA from 1 species